rnacentral:rRNA from 1 species
GCACAAGCGGUGGAUGAUGUGGAUAAUUCGAUGCAACGCGAAAACCUUACCUACCCUUGACAUGUCCGGAAUCCUGCAGAGAUGCGGGAGUGACCCGAAAGGGAAUCGGAACACAGGUGCUGCAUGGCUGUCGUCAGCUCGUGUCGUGAGAUGUUGGGUUAAGUCCCGCAACGAGCGCAACCCUUAUCAUUAGUUGCUACGCAAGGGCACUCUAAUGAGACUGCCGGUGACAAACCGGAGGAAGGUGGGGAUGACGUCAAGUCCUCAUGGCCCUUAUGGGUAGGGCUUCACACGUCAUACAAUGGUCGGUACAGAGGGUUGCCAAGCCGCGAGGUGGAGCCAAUCCCAGAAAGCCGAUCGUAGUCCGGAUUGUUCUCUGCAACUCGAGAGCAUGAAGUCGGAAUCGCUAGUAAUCGUGGAUCAGAAUGUCACGGUGAAUACGUUCCCGGGUCUU